rnacentral:rRNA from 1 species
UACAGAGGGUGCAAACGUUGCUCGGAAUUACUGGGCGUAAAGCGCGUGUAGGUGGAUUGGUGUGUCAGAUGUGAAAUCCCUGGGCUCAACCCAGGAACUGCACCUGAAACUACCAGUCUUGAGUGGUGGAGAGGGAAGUGGAAUUCCUGGUGUAGAGGUGAAAUUCGUAGAUAUCAGGAGGAACACCAGUGGCGAAGGCGGCUUCCUGGACACUAACUGACGCUGAGACGCGAAAGCGUGGGGAGCAAACAGG